rnacentral:rRNA from 1 species
GCUUACGACCACACCGGCCUGAGUACGCCCUGAUCUCGUCUGAUCUCGGAAUCUAAGCAGGGUCGGGCCUGGUUAGUACUUUGAAUGGGAGACCGCCUGGGAAUACCAGGUGCUGUAAGCU